rnacentral:rRNA from 1 species
AGUGAACGCUGGCGGCGUGCCUAAUACAUGCAAGUCGAACGGAGUGGCGCACGGGUGAGUAAUAUAUAGCUAACUUGCCCAUUACUAUGGGACAACAGUUGGAAACGACUGCUAAUACCUUAUAGUAAUGGAUAGGGCUAUAUCGUAUCAGCUAGUUGGUAAGGUAACGGCUAACCAAGGCUAUGACGCGUAACUGGUCUGAGAGGAUGAUCAGUCACACUGGAACUGAGACACGGUCCAGGCUCCUGCGGGAGGCAGCAGUAGGGAACAUUGCUCACUGGGGGUGACCCGGAAGCAGCAGCGCCGCGUAGAGGAUGGCAGUUUUCGGAGCGUAAACACCUUGUCUAGGGAAAGCGGUACCCAAGGAAUAAGCACCGGCUAACUCCGUGCCAGCAGCCGCGGUAAUUC